GAGAAAACUGAUUGGCAAUACUUUACAGAGAUAGCUGUCAGAUGUGUUGUUAAAACGUCAAAAGGGCCACGAGUAAUUCCUUCUUAAGAAGAAACCAUCUUCAUUUUUGUCUUAUAUUCAGAAGAAAACUUUCCAGCAAGUAGGAAUCCUUGAUUUUUUUUUCUUUUCAAGGAUUUAACACUGCAUCAAAGACCCCAAGAAAUGCUAUUAAAAUGCAAAUAAGUUGGUUCUUAGAAGUUUGGAGAAAGCAAUGGCACACAUUUAAAGAAGCAGAAAUGCUAGAGUUGCUAUAGCAGACAAUGGAAGAAGAAACCAAGAGACUCGGAGAACAUGCAGGAGGGAUGUAUUAGAUAUGGACUCUCACUAUGUUGCCCAGGCUGGUCUCAAGCUCCUGGGCUCAAGCAAUCCUUCCAUCUUGGCCUCCCAAAAUGCUGAGAUUACUGGAAUGAGCCACUGUGACUGGCCUAUGUGAGACUUUAUCAGAGGGAGGCCAACAAGUCCAGAAAGAAAGAGAUGUGAUGAAGGAAGCAGAGAUUGGAGUGAUGAAAUUGCUGACCAGUACUGACAUCUUGAUUUUAGCCCAGUGAAAUCUAUUUCAG
rnacentral:lncRNA from 10 species